ACCGGAUAGGACGAAAGUUUAAAGGUGCUUCGGCACCACUGAUGGAUGAGCCUGCGGCGCAUUAGCUAGUUGGUAGGGUAAAGGCCUACCAAGGCGACGAUGCGUAGCCGACCUGAGAGGGUGAACGGCCACACUGGGACUGAGACACGGCCCAGACUCCUACGGGAGGCAGCAGUAGGGAAUCUUCGGCAAUGGGCGAAAGCCUGACCGAGCAACGCCGCGUGAAUGAUGAAGGCCUUCGGGUUGUAAAAUUCUGUUAUAAGGGAAGAAUGGCUCUAGUAGGAAAUGGCUAGAGUGUGACGGUACCUUAUGAGAAAGCCACGGCAAACUACGUGCCAGCAGCCGCGGUAAUACGUAGGUGGCGAGCGUUAUCCGGAAUUAUUGGGCGUAAAGAGCGCGCAGGUGGUUGAUUAAGUCUGAUGUGAAAGCCCACGGCUUAACCGUGGAGGGUCAUUGGAAACUGGUCAACUUGAGUGCAGAAGAGGGAAGUGGAAUUCCAUGUGUAGCGGUGAAAUGCGUAGAGAUAUGGAGGAACACCAGUGGCGAAG
rnacentral:rRNA from 1 species